GGGCGUAUGGUGUAGUGGUAUCACUCAUGCUUUGCAGUAUGAAUUGAUCUUUGUGAUUAACCAUCAUUUCUUUGUAUGCGGUCCAGGGUUCAAACCCCUGUGCGUCCA